rnacentral:rRNA from 1 species
CACCAGGUCAGGACACGGUAAGGAUUGACGGACUGAAGGCUCUUUCUCGAUUCCGUGGAAAGUGGUGCAUGGCCGUUUUGGUUGGUGGAUCGAUCCGUCUGGUUAAUUCCGUUAACGAACGAGACCUCGGCACUCCGAAUAGCGCGGCGGACGUCGCGGCCUCCGGGCCGUCUUCCGCACGAGCUUCUUAGAGGGACCGUCCCCCGCCGGGGAAGGAGGUGCGAGGCAACGACAGGUCUGUGAUGCCCUUAGAUGUUCUGGGCCGCACGCGCAUUACACUGACGCGUCCAACGGGUGACUCCCGACCCGAAGGGGCCGGGGAAUCCGCAAGGCGCGUCGUGAUGGGGAUUGAACGUUGCAAUUGUUGUUCACGAACGAGGAAUUCCUAGUAGGCGCGGGUCAUCAACCCGCGCCGAUUACGUCCCUGCC